ACGGGGCCGAGCCCUAACGCCAACCACUUCAUUAUUCGGCGAAAACCACAAUUUUCAUAAAAUGUGGCAGUGGUGUCCCCUCUCCUCUUCUCUCUAUCUUAGGUUGUCUGCUAUGUGCUGUCAAUAUUUAUUAAUUUUAUAAUUUAUACUCUGUCGAUUCUCGAUUCAGUGUGCCUGUGUGCCCAACUGAUUACUGCAUCAGUCUUCAAGAAAAAUUGUGGACAAGGGAAAAUGAAAAAAAAAUAAUAAUAAUGACGGCUGCUAGUUUUUUAUUAUUAUUCGUGAAUGCUUUGUUGCCAUAUAACAAUUGUAUUCGGCAAAGAAAGAGGGGUUGGGUCGUCUGCUUCGGUUCUGGUUCUACCAUGCUCUAGGACCAUGGUAGAACUCGGCCAUAUAGACUGGCGGUUGAAGUUGAACCUCAACCAAGGGGGGAAAUAUCAGUUGUCGCCAAAACAUUGGUUCAGUUCAACCAGGUUGACACAAAAAUGCGGUUGAUCGCAACUCAACCUCAUUCCUGAUCAACCAGGUAGACGCCAAAACGCGCCUUAAAACUCGAAACGCCGUGCGAAUCAAGAUAGUUUGUUUCGCGGUUUAGCCGCUGAAUGGUGUUUCAUUCCCAUGCUAAAGUGCGAAACAACGUUGCGAAACAGAAGGCUGCUGAAUGGCUGGCGAAAGCGCGAAAUGUUAAUAUUUCAAUAAAUAAAAAAAGAAAAUUUUAACAGGAAUCGCAGGCUUUUACAUUUCUGA